rnacentral:lncRNA from 1 species
CAAAAUGGCCGAGCGCUGCGGAGACGCUUGUGAUGGAUGUACCGCGUGGCUGUCCAGAGCAAUUCGUUUGCACUGGACGUGCCACUGCGCGCCUCUGCCCGCAUGCGAUUCCGGAACUAAAAGUGAUGCCAUCGCAGCCUCCUUCAGAACCGUGGACUACAGAGGCAGCGAAUGCACCCUGGAGAGUUCCCUGCGCAUGAAACAUUUGCCGCGUGCCACACACAGUCGUCGGAUUCGCCUUUCGCAGAUUCUCAUGUCCUUCAAUCGCGGUUCGUCCCAGCGGGAAACUGGUCGGGCCAGGAACGAGUGGCGUUGCUUCAUUCAGUCUCGCAACUGCCGCUGCGCCCCACUUGCCGCCGCCCGCAACCGAACGCGUGGCGACUUCACCGUUCUCCACUGCAACAAUUAAGUCGCCUUUCGUUUCAGACUGCGUCGUUCGGUUCCGUGGCGUUGCCAUGCCCAGAGACGCGUCGGGGACACAUCCGGAUACACGAUGCUGCGGCCGGCGCUCGUAGCGCUGGACCCUGGGCAACACCGGCGGCGGUAGCGGAACUCUCUUUUCUGGAGGGACUGCUGUUCCAUGCCCCUGGAAAUUGCCACAAGUGGUCCGUGCCGUAGCCUCUUCUGGCAGCUGAUGUCCUGCGUCGAGAAGAGAAAUAAAGGCUUUAAGCACACGUCUCUCCCCGGCACUUGCAUCGGACCCGACCCGGAUUCCACAGGUUUGGUCCUUCUGCACGAGCAAAUUCGACCGGCACUCAUACUCACAGUUUGGAAUGCUGCCGCUUUGUUUCUGUGAAGAAUAGGCCGGCGCCUCUCCAGAUCCCGCGCCUGGCUCCUGGAAAGCUAGCCGAGGCGAAGCGUCGCUUCUCAGGAAUGAGGCUGAGGCAACUGGUUCGUGGGGACCCGGUUUUGAACCGCAUUGAGAGGCGAGAGCGAUGCACCCAGCCAUGAACAUCUCUGAGGUCGUCGAUUGUGCUGCCCAGCGCUCUCUUUCGAGGCCUGUCAGCGCACCUGGCAAUGGUCCGAUAAAGUGUGACGAGUUUGCCCCCAGACGGAGCAGCGUAGGUGCACUCGGAUCGCUGGCCCCGUGCUCCACAGGCGCCGUGGCGUCGUCUGCAGACUCCUGGAAACGCUUCUCCUCGGCGUGAAUCUGGUGUGUUCUUUUCUGCGAAACCGGCAUGCUCCAUGCCGCUGGACCGACGGCGCGACCAAGUGACAAAGCAUCCGAACACGACAGGAAUGGAGGCGCAGAACUGUUUUCUGCAGUGUCUUGAUCUCCCACACGCGGAGACGACUGUUCGGCUACGUAGUCGCAGGCACGCCGAGCCGUCUUUGAUUCUGUGCGAUCGGCUUCGACGCCAUUUUGUCCUCGAAGGGAGAAGGCGUCCAUUUCCACUGCCUUAUAGGGGCCCCGCUGCUCUCCACAAUGGGAGCGCACACAGGAAGGGCGGUUUCUCCCCGUGGAACUGAGUGAAUAUUUCGAGCCAAGAAGGGAGUUUGAGUCGCUGCCGUGUAUUGGGCUGCAGUGGAAGCUAAAGGAAACGGAACCAUUCAUGUUGUCCAGAUCGACAGCCACCAGACAUUGCCUGUGCGUACGGCCGGAAUCUCCGGAAGCAGUGCCCGCAAGCACAGAUUCAACGGUCGCGGGGAUCCUGCAGCUGCUGCGAGUCUGGAGCCCAAGGCGUCCGAGAUCUUUUCGCGUGUCUUCGAGCAGGUGAGCGGAAAGCCACCGUGCUCUCCGGAUGAACAUACGCAGAUCGCGGGGGCCUACAGGCGGUCCAGAGACGCAAACCAAACACGUGGAGCCAAAAUCCGUCGGCUGCUUGUGGGCACUCUAGAAGUCUGUCGCAUUCAAUGCUCGCAACCGUCCUCUAGAGAGAGACACCCCACACAGCAGAAAGAGCCUGCAGUAGGUGGACAGGCCUUCCGUCGACGCAGCAGGAAGGUCUGUGUUCAAGUAGUUGUCUACGAGGAAGAAGGUAGUCGUCUACGAGGAAGAGGGGAUUCGGUGUUUUCCUAUGAGCCAACUCAGCUCCACACAGGAAAUACAUAAAACGUAACCGUCCACUAGAGCCGAUCGAAAUCGGAAUGACGAAGGUGGGAGUGGAACUCCGCGUUUGAGUUCAGGAGGGGGGCCUUUUCUGCAGCGAAUCACAUAACCAAGUCCUAGGUUUUUCUGAUGCUCAGUCUCUGGAGUCGUCACUUGGAAAUCUAAAUCUCAACGGACUCCUGACCGAAUAACCAGACUCCGUGGCUCGACGCUAAUGUACACUCGCGCGGAUGACAUGUACGCGCGGUUCUAAUGAAGAGUGGACGACACGUUCAACACACGCUUCGGGGUAUCGACAGAACAGUAGCACGGUGUAC